rnacentral:rRNA from 1 species
UUCCUUUUGAAAAUGUAAAAGGUAAGGCCUGCUCAAUGGUAUUAAAUAGCUGCAGUAUUUUGACUGUACAAAGGUAGCGUAAUCAUUUGUCUUAUAAAUUAAGACUAGUAUGAAUGGUUUAAUGAGAAUUUAACUGUCUUAAGUGUAAUGAUAGAAUUAGUCUUUUUAGUGAAGAGACUAAAACGAUGAAGUAAGACGAGAAGACCCUAUAAAGCUUAAAGAGUUUUUUAUUGGGGUAAUAAAAGAGGAAAAUUUCUUUUUAAAAAAUGUAUGAUAAUAGGUGAACAAGUAUUAUUGAUAUGAGAUAAGUUACUUUAGGGGUAACAGCAUAAUCAAUUUUGAGAGUUCUUAUCGACAAAUUGGGUUAUGACCUCGAUGUUGGUUUAGAGAAAUUUUUUGAUGAAGAAGAUAAAGAAAUAAGUCUGUUCGACUUUUAAAUCUCUACA